rfam:Lasius niger Lnig_2.1_9688, whole genome shotgun sequence.
CAAUCGGCCCUUUUUAGGGCCACUCCAAACAAAGCCAAAAAUAAUU